AGCACUUGUCCUUGUCUUUGUUGAACUGAUGGACAAAGACUUAAAUACAGGUGCAAAAAUAAAUCCUCUGUUACAACCCAGAGCUCAUUGUUAAGUAUGAGCUUUUGCGGCGAACCCCCUGACCAGCAGGAGAAG
rnacentral:snoRNA from 1 species